AUGCACAAUGUAGGUGACAGUGGAAAGAGGUUUACCAAGAUAACUCUGGAGCAGCAGCCAGAGUCUGACCUAGUCCAUCCAGGAGACUCUGUGACUCUGCAGUGUACAGUACUCUCUGAGACCUGUACAGGAGAACACAGUGUGUAUUGGUUCAGAGCCGGAUCAGAAGAAUCCCAUCCAGGAGUCAUUUAUACCCCUGGGAACAGGAGUGAUGAGUGUGAGAAGAGCCCUGAGACGCCCUCUCCUAGACAGAGCUGUGUCUACAGCCUCUCCAAGAACAACCUCAGUCUCUCUGAUGCUGGGACUUACUACUGUGCUGUGGCCAAAUGUGGGGAGAUCCUGUUUGGCAAUGGAACAAAAUUGCACAUUGGUAGGUGA